rnacentral:rRNA from 1 species
AACGAACGCUGGCGGCAGGCCUAACACAUGCAAGUCGAACGCUGCAGCAAUGCAGAGUGGCAGACGGGUGAGUAACGCGUGGGAACCUUCCCAGUGGUACGGAAUAGCCCAGGGAAACUUGGGGUAAUACCGUAUAAGCCCCUAGGGGGAAAGAUUUAUCGCCAUUGGAUGGGCCCGCGUCGGAUUAGCUAGUUGGUGAGGUAACGGCUCACCAAGGCGACGAUCCGUAGCUGGUCUGAGAGGAUGAUCAGCCACACUGGGACUGAGACACGGCCCAGACGCCUACGGGAGGCAGCAGUGGGGAAUAUUGGACAAUGGGCGCAAGCCUGAUCCAGCCAUGCCGCGUGAGUGACGAAGGCCUUAGGGUUGUAAAGCUCUUUUGGCGGGGACGAUAAUGACGGUACCCGCAGAAUAAGCUCCGGCUAACUUCGUGCCAGCCGCCGCAGUAAUAC